AGGUCAUAAUAGCUUUGUAUGGAAACCGAAAAUGCUGAAAGUUCGGUUUUCUGAUUCUGUUUACUGUGAUCCUAAAAACGUGAUUUUUAAAAGUUUUAUUUCUAUCAGAAAUUUUCUUCUACAUUCUAGAUGCUACUGUGAGUGGCAACCAACCUGGGUUACACUCAACUCUGUUUAUGAGAUGCUUCAUAACUCUGCCUAGAAAAGUGCAAGAUAUGCAGUAUGCUAAAUUCAGCUCAACACGUUGUAAGAUGCUGCUGGUUAGGCCCCUGUAUUCGCUGGAAGAGUUGGAUAAGGAGCCUCUCUUUGGCGUUGCAACGCCGCCACAACCAAGAUGAGUCUUUGGUUUUAACUCAUGACACUGCUGAUCUGGAAACACUUGGCGACGGCAUCAAGUAUCAAAUGAGCAAUGGGUGGGUUUCCUUUGAGCUGCGCUCUUCUGAGGUUGUGGUGACUUUCCUCAUGCUCAUGUCGCAGAGAAAGACCCAUCACUGGAUGGUAUUGAGGGCUCCAUGCAUUGAUAGGAUCAUAGCACAAGCCUCGCAACACUAAUCUGUCCCUGAUUGGCUGGAGUUCGAAAGAUGCACAUGUAAUAGCAAAUGCAGUGGAAGGUGAUUUUAAAGUCUCUGAAAAGCUUUUAAAAAUGAACAAAAGAAUGAACAGUUGAGGCUUUCCUUGUGCGUCUGUGAUGAGAUGAUAAAAUGUCCAUGCCUACCGGAGGGACUCGAAUCCACAACCAGGCAGUGCGAGCCGACUAAAGGUUUUAACGCCCCAGACAACUAGACCGACCUGGCCGACCUGAAGUAAAACAAACAGUACCUGGAGCAUUAAGAUUCAACAUACUUUGAAAAUAAUAACUUCUGGAGAUGGAACGAAAGGAAAUUCACGAAGAAUAAUUCCAGUAGAGCAGAGAAAACGACCAAGAAAAGCUGAGAUGGGAAGAAUAUCAUCUUCAAAGAUUGCGUCGCAGACUUCCUUUACAAUUCCAGAGACAGUGCUUCUACCAAUUCUGUAGCUGAAGCUUAUAGUUUGGUAUGUGUCUCCAGUUGCAAGAAAUCUAAAAAAAAAUUCAGAAUCAGGAUUGAAAGCUGAAUGGAAAAAAUUACGGGAUCGCUUCCUGCAUGCAACUUUGCUAAAGAAGACAAAGAGUGGUCAGGCUGCAAAAUUUUACAAUGAAUAGAAAUUUGAAAAACAAAUGCAUUUUUGUUGCCGACAAUGCAGCAUAGAGCGUAAGUUUAUUACUUUUUCUAGGGCAACUUAUUUAUGUUUUCAGUAAAUGUAAGCUAAAUACUUUGAU
rnacentral:lncRNA from 1 species